CCAAAGUUUAUGUACCAAUAACACUUUUAAAUGAAAAUUGUUUCUUGAAAAAAAAGAAUGUCUAGUUUAACUCAAACAAAUCAACAUACAAGUGCCUUGAUGUGAAGAACAACAACAAAAAAAAGUAUUUUGAUAGGUAGUAGUUUCUGUUUUGUCACAAAAUAUUAAAAAGACAUACACUCAAGUGCCGAGGUUUAAUGGUAUUGAUAAUUUUAUGUUUUACUUCUUUUUUUCAGAUGAUCUUAAACUCUUGUCUUCUUUUAACUUUGGUGGUGAAGAAUUCACUUUGAAUCUCUAAGAAUACAUCGGACCAUGUUAGCAAGAUUGCAGUAAACCAAGUCUAAUGGAAGAAGGGGUGUUACUUAAGGCGACAUGCAAGCUCCGGAAUCUAAGUAAUGAUGUCACUACAGAUCAGAGUAGAAAGAGAAAGAACAAUGAGGACGGAAGAAAGGUUUUGAAACAUAAUGAUACCCCUUCAUUCACAACACACCUGGAGUUGAGUUUCAAGAGGGGAGUCAUUGGAAACAUUCAGGUGUGA
rnacentral:lncRNA from 13 species